rnacentral:rRNA from 1 species
UGUAGCAAGGUUAACCGUAUAGGGGAGCCGCAGGGAAACCGAGUCUUAACCGGGCGUUAAGUUGCAGGGUAUAGACCCGAAACCCGGUGAUCUAGCCAUGGGCAGGUUGAAGGUUGGGUAACACUAACUGGAGGACCGAACCGACUAAUGUUGAAAAAUUAGCGGAUGACCUGUGGCUGGGGGUGAAAGGCCAAUCAAACCGGGAGAUAGCUGGUUCUCCCCGAAAGCUAUUUAGGUAGCGCCUCGUGAAUUCAUCUCCGGGGGUAGAGCACUGUUUCGGCUAGGGGGCCAUCCCGGCUUACCAACCCGAUGCAAACUGCGAAUACCGGAGAAUGUUAUCACGGGAGACACACGGCGGGUGCUAACGUCCGUCGUGAAGAGGGAAACAACCCAGACCGCCAGCUAAGGUCCCAAAGUCAUGGUUAAGUGGGAAACGAUGUGGGAAGGCCCAGACAGCCAGGAUGUUGGCUUAGAAGCAGCCAUCAUUUAAAGAAAGCGUAAUAGCUCACUGGUCGAGUCGGCCUGCGCGGAAGAUGUAACGGGGCUAAACCAU